CUCUCUCUCUCACCCACCCAUUUCAGUGAGGAGGAAACCCAGAGUUCAGCUUCACGUCCCUUUUCAGACAGUUCCAAUAGUAAAUCUCCUUACGUGCACAGCUCUGACCGUUACGGGGACAACAGCUGUGGCCCCCCAGGCCCUCGGCGUACACGCAACCAACCAGCUAGCCUGGCCCUACGUAAACAAGAGGAAGAAGAGAACAAGAGGUGCAAAGCCCUAUCAGACAGUUAUGAACUCUCUACAGACCUACAAGACAAGAAGGUGGAGAUGCUGGAGAAGAAAUAUGGAGGUUACUUCGUAAGUAGACGAGCAGCACGUACCAUCCAGACAGCAUUCCGUCAAUAUCGUAUGAACAAGAACUUUGAGCGCCUGCGCAGCUCAGCUUCCGAGAGCCGCAUGACACGGCGCAUCAUCCUUUCCAACAUGCGACUGCAGUACUCGUUUGAUGACCGACAGCCUCAACCUCCCACCCCAACUCACUACAGUCACAGUCCAGGAAUGGGUCCUCCGCAUUCUCCAACCUGCACCACAGAGCCAAGCUCCCCAUCACAACCGGAAUACACCCACCUAGAGGACUCCUUCUCAAAACAAGUGAAGUCCUUGGCCGACUCCAUUGAUGAUGCCCUCACGUGUCGACCACGUCUUGGAGACAGGGAUCGAGGAGGUACAGGGGGCUUGAGUAUGCAUGAAGACAGCACAGCCACCUCCUACAGUGAUGUUACACUUUACAUGGACGACGGUCUACCUUCCUCACCGCUUUCUCUAGAUCGGGCCCCUAGCAGCACAGACACUGAGUUCUGGGGGGGUGUUGGAAGUGGAGUAGGUGGUAGGGAAGACAGCCGUGACACAGAAGGAGGAGGAAGCAGCAAUAGCCGCCGAAGCACACCUUGCACAGAGUGCCGUGAUUACCGUUUACGGGGAGGGCACUUACCGUUACUUACGAUUGAACCACCUAGUGACAGUUCAGUGGACAUGAGUGACCGCUCAGACCGAGGCUCCCUUAGCAGACAACUAGUCUUUGAGCAGGACUCAGCAGGAGGAUCACCUCAAGGGACACUAAAGCAUAAUCCUAAUGCUCGUUCGACAUCCUCGACAGCUGCACAAGGUCAAACACGUCCACCCCCAACCACACCGCUCUCAUCCUCCUCUUCAGCACCACUGCCUCCUGGUGGCUUGGAGCAGCAAUGCUGCUCGGAUGGUGAUAAUGACUCACUGAAUUCCACCACAAACUCUAAUGAGACCAUUAAUUGCAGCUCAGGCUCCUCUUCAAGGGAUAGUCUGCGGGAGCCCUUGCCCCCAUUAGGGAAACAGACCUACCAGAGAGAAAGUCGGCACAGCUGGGACUCUCCUGUCUUUAACACUGACGUAGUGCAAAGAAGACAAUAUCGCAUCGGACUCAACCUCUUCAACAAGAAACCAGAAAAGGGUAUUCAGUACCUAAUUGAGAAGGGCUUUGUGUCAGACACGCCAGUGGGCAUUGCUCGCUUUAUCCUGGAGAGAAAAGGCCUGAGUCGGCAGAUGAUUGGAGAGUUCCUUGGAAAUAGACAGAAACAGUUCAACAAAGAUGUAUUGGAUUGUGUUGUGGAUGAAAUGGACUUUUCCGGAAUGGAUCUUGAUGAUGCUCUGAGGAAAUUUCAAGCUCAGAUAAAAGUCCAAGGAGAGGCUCAAAAAGUGGAAAGACUUAUUGAGGCUUUCAGUCAGAGGUACUGUGUUUGUAAUCCAGCACUGGUAAGACAGUUCCAGAACCCAGACACCAUCUUCAUCCUAGCUUUUGCCAUCAUCCUCCUCAACACAGACAUGUACAGCCCCAAUAUCAAAGCAGAGAGGAAGAUGAAGCUGGAUGACUUCAUCAAAAACUUAAGAGGGGUGGAUAAUGGGCAGGACAUCCCACGUGACUUACUGGUUGGAAUCUACCAGCGCAUUCAGAAAUGGGAACUGAGAACCAAUGAUGACCAUGUUUCUCAGGUCCAGGCGGUGGAGAGAGUAAUAGUGGGCAAGAAACCAGUGAGUUCUACUGAGGUUCUGUCUCUGCCCCACCGCAGACUAGUGUGCUGCUGUCAGCUCUAUGAAGUCCCGGACCCCAACCGUCCUCAAAGGUCUGGAGUUCACCAGAGAGAGGUCUUCCUCUUCAACGAUCUGAUUGUGGUUACAAAGAUCUUCCAGAAGAAGAAAACCUCUGUAACAUACAGUUUCAGACAGUCCUUCCCUCUGGUGGAGAUGCAGGUUCACAUGUUCCAGAACUCCUACUAUCCUCAUGGUGUCAGACUAACAUCAGCUAUCCCAGGUGGUGAGCGUAAAGUUUUGAUUGUGUUCAUGGCCCCUAGUCAACAGGACCGCACACGCUUUGUCAGUGAUCUGAGAGAGAGCAUUGCUGAGGUCCAGGAAAUGGAGAAAUACAGAGUGGAGUCUGAGCUGGAGAAGCAGAAAGGAGUAAUGCGGCCCAGCCUGCUCACCAACAGCAUUAUGGCUGGAGGAGUGGGUGGGGUCAAGAAUGAAGUGGUGAAUGGCACUAUGGGAAGGCCUAGUCUGGAUGACAACUAUUCACCAGGAGAGGGCCUCAAACGUACUGCUCUCAGCUCCUCCCUGAGGGACCUGUCUGAAUCAGGGAAACGUGGCCGCAGAAACAGCGUUGGUUCCCUUGACAGUACAAUGGAAGUAAGUCUGAGUGAAGCAGAGGUCUGUAUCUUUAGCUUUAGCCCCAAAACCGAACCACCCGCAUGUCUGCCUGGAAUUCCCACACAAAACACGGCGCCAUCUUGCAUGUGUCCUAAACAUAGACACAGAGACAUGUGUGAGCAUCUUGUGUGA
ensembl:lncRNA